UUUUUUUUCGUUUUCCUUUAAUAAAUUAUCUUCAAUCCGUUAAGAUAAUAUCUUACCAAUCGGUGAUCGUAUAUUACAAUGAAACGAGCAUACGUUAUUAUUCAAUUAAAUAUUAUAAUAAAUUAACCCUAAUCAAAUAUACAAUUUAUAUCUACACACAACCGUAAUCCGUAUAAUAUAAAUCGCCGUACGACGAUGCAUAAUUUAUUAUUAUUAUUACAUAUUUAUUGUUAAAAUACACGAGAAUAUACGAAAAUUAUUGCUGUUCGGUAUUUAUAAUGUUUGAUGAUACUAUAUUAAUAAUAAUAAUAUUUAUGUUAUUUUAAUUUGUGUGAAAUCGAUAACAACAAUAUAUUUACUAUUAUAUUAUUACAUUAUAUUAUUAUAUUAUACCUAUCUGAUAUAUAAAUUAUUAUGAAUAAAUAUUAUUACAAUAAUUAUCAGUUCUGUUACGUUAUUGUAUUGCGGUGUGUGUGUGUGUGUGUGUGUGUGUGCGAAACGUUUAAUCGGGGGAGAGGGGGGGGGGAAUUAGUUAAAAAAAAAAAAAUCAUCGUUUAGUUCGUGUACCCGCGCGCGCGUGUACAGCGGUGCACGGUCGAGGCGUCCGUUUUGAAAACCGCCGAAAAUCUCCCGAAACGGGAUUUUCCCCGAGUUAGUGGUCGGAUCUCGACACGACAAACACGAUGCGCGCAAUAUUAUUGUUGUUGCGUUGCGGUUGCCGGUUACCGUUAAUGGGGCCACUGGACCGGCGGUCGCCAGCCACAUUCAUGUCGCACGGACCGCCCGCGCUCCGCGACCGCAGUUUUUUGUACGGGCCGCACCGCGAAGUUCGCAGUGUCUGUGCCGCUGGUCCCGGGUCCUUCUGUUCCGGCGUUCCGUAGCUACGGUUAGCGACAAAACGAUUUCCAAUUCCCUCCCCAUAUCCUCCCGCGGGCGCAAUUAGGGUGAAAAUUCCCGGGAGCUACGGCCCCGAACAGAUAUAUUCGCUUGAAUUCGAAAAUAAUACAUUGUACCACCUGCGUCGUUGUAACCGCGCGAACAAAUACAAAC